rnacentral:rRNA from 1 species
GACGAACGCUGGCGGCGUGCCUAAUACAUGCAAGUAGAACGCUGAAGAGAGGAGCUUGCUCUUCUUGGAUGAGUUGCGAACGGGUGAGUAACGCGUAGGUAACCUGCCUGGUAGCGGGGGAUAACUAUUGGAAACGAUAGCUAAUACCGCAUAAAAUGGAUUAUCGCAUGAUAAUUCAUUGAAAGGUGCAAAUGCAUCACUACCAGAUGGACCUGCGUUGUAUUAGCUAGUUGGUGGGGUAACGGCUCACCAAGGCAACGAUACAUAGCCGACCUGAGAGGGUGAUCGGCCACACUGGGACUGAGACACGGCCCAGACUCCUACGGGAGGCAGCAGUAGGGAAUCUUCGGCAAUGGACGGAAGUCUGACCGAGCAACGCCGCGUGAGUGAAGAAGGUUUUCGGAU